rnacentral:sRNA from 1 species
UACAGAAGGUAUAUAAGAGCGCUAGC